rnacentral:snRNA from 1 species
ACACUGUUUGCUUUGGCAGUGUAUAUAUAUUAAGUUGGAACUAUACAGAGAAGAUUAACAUGUCCCCUCACGAGAACCGGCAGUCUAAAUUAAUAUAUCUAAAUUUA